rnacentral:rRNA from 1 species
AUUGAACGCUGGCGGCAGGCUUAACACAUGCAAGUCGAGCGAGCGGCGGACGGGUUAGUUAUGUCUGGGAAACUGCCUGAUGGAGGGGGAUCACUACUGGAAACGGUAGCUGAUACCGCAUACCAUCAGAUGUGCCCAGGUGGGAUUAGCUAGUAGGUGGGGUAAUGGCUAACCUAGGCGCGGAGCCCUAGCUGGUCUGAGAGGAUGACCAGCCACACUGGAACUGAGACACGGUCCAGACUCCUACGGGAGGCAGCAGUGGGGAAUAGUGCACAAUGGGCGAAAGCCUGAUGCAGCCAUGCCGCGUGUGUGAAGAAGGCCUUCGGGUUGUAAAGCACUUUCAGCGAGGAGGCGUUACUCGCAGAAGAAGCACCGGCUAACUCCGUGCCAGCAGCCGCGGUAAUUC